rnacentral:lncRNA from 1 species
GAAAAAACGAGAAACCACGCGAGAAACCACACGAAACCAGCUUUGUGACGAUGAUACCCGAUCUGGUAACUGAAAAAGUAGAAGGCAACUACACCGCAAAUUUCCCCUCCUCACAAAACUGCUCCAAUAACAUGACCAAUAACUAACAUCCCUUUUGACCAAAAUGCCAGCCACAGGUGAGAACCCCUUGUAAGCAACAAUCUCUGGCAAACAUCACAAUCUGGUACACAAAACUGCUCCAANNNNNNNNNNNNNNNNNNNNACCCGAUCUGGUAACUGAAAAAGUAGAAGGCAACUACACCGCAAAUUUCCCCUCCUCACAAAAAUAACUAACAUCCCUUUUGACCAAAAUGCCAGCCACAGGUGAGAACCCCUUGUAAGCAACAAUCUCUGGCAAACAUCACAAUCUGGUACAAAUCUGAUUGUUGGUUAGCAAGGUCACCAAACCUAGCAAGGUCACCAAACCAGCAAAUGGCAAAAUCAAUUUAAAAAUUAAACCACCAAGAAUAUUCCCACUCCGCAAAAGAUAAAUAAAUAAAUAAGCAGGAACCCCUUAUAUGCAACAAUCUCUGGCAACAUCACAAUCUGACACAAACAAAUCAAUUUAAAAAUUAAACCACAAAGAAUAUUCCAGUCCCCAAAAGAUAAAUAAAUAAAGAAGCAGGCUCUGGUUCAGACAAUCUAAAACCACUGUCAAGUGUGAGGGCAUCAACAUCAAACUAAGCCAAACAUGAUACGACAUACACCAGCAAAGUGCACAACAAUCAAUACAAUCUCAACCCAAAUUGCACAACAAUCGAUACAAUCUCAACCCAUGCAAACCCUUGGAGCACUGCAACAACAACAGAAGCGACACUUAAAAUCUAACUAUCAAGUCUCAAGGCCAAAAAAAAAAAACACAAUAGAUAAAGGGCCCAGUUUCAAAAACAAGCGGGCAAUUGAGAAGACAAAAGUCAAGCAAAAGGCGACAGGAGGACAUAAGAGAGUUAAGAAAAACCAAGUUGAAACAAUACUAUAAAAGCCAUGAACGCAGACGUCGUUUGACAUCGUUUGCCCUUCAACUCUCACCACUGUGUAACAAACAGGCAAAAAAUAAUUCAGACGUCAUCAUCUGGUGAAACAGUACUAUCAAAAAGGUCAAAACAAUGCUUCAAAUCCCUCAUGGAAAAAAAAAUAAAAAAAAAUCUCCACCAAUACGUCUUCCAAGAACAAACACUGGUCACUAGACAGAAUAUAUACAAGAAAAAAACAGUUAUAACCUAAAAUGCUACCAGGUUAGACAUGCUCCCUCGAUAGAUAUCAUAUCCACCAUAUUAACAAACCAUUCGACAUGCUCCCUCGAUAGAUAUCAUAUCCACCAAUACGUCUUCCAAGAACUAACACUGGUCACUAGACAGAAUAUAUACAAGAAAAAAACAGUUAUAACCUAAAAUGCUACCAGGUUAGACAUGCACCCUCGAUAGAUAUCAUAUCCGCCAUAUUAACAAACCAUUCGACAUGCUCCCUCGAUAGAUAUCAUAUCCGCCAUACUCCGAACAUCAUCAACCUACGUGCCAGGACAGAUCAGAUAUUAACAAUCUUAACAAUCUUACACCUUAAUUCCAAGAUUUAUAAAACGAGCAAAUUGGUAAUCGAAAAUGAUUUUUGGGGAAGGGGUGGGGGGUGGGAAUUAACAAUCUUAACAAUCUUACACCUUAAUUCCAAUGACACUUUAGUUUUAAAUCUCGUCACAAAAAGCCGGACAACUAAGAAGACAAAACUCAGCAAAUGGUGAUAACCAUAUAUAUAAAAAUAUUAACAGCAUUUCUCCACAACUAAAGCACCCUCGUUUAUCAACAGUCUCGAAGAACAUUAAAUAACACAGUAUAUAUCCUACACAAAAUGUUCCUUUAAAAAAUAUAGAAAAAUAUUAACAGCAUUUCUCCACAACUAAAGCACCCUCGUUUAUCAACAGUCUCGAAGAACAUUAAAUAACACAGUAUAUAUCCUACACAAAAUGUUCCUUUAAAAAAAAAAAAGCUAAUUUACACAAUUCCACUACAGUAUAUAUCCUCCACAAAAUGUUCCUUUAAAAAAAAAAAAAGCUAAUUUACACAAUUCCACUACAGUAUAUAUCCUCCACAAAAUGUUCCUUUAAAAAAAAAAAAAGCAAAUUUACACAAUUGCACUCCCUAUUGGAAAACAUUAAAGGGAAAAACAACAGCAUGUCUUCUCCACAACUAAAGCACCCUCGUUUAUACAUAUAACAAUUCACCAUCAGAAUCACCAUCAGACGCCCGCAAAAAGUCAUCUCUUUCAAAUAUCGACAAGACCCCCUCUACAAAUCAUCUCUUUCAAAUAUCGAUAAUCCAAUUAAAAUAUAUGGAGACAACACAUUAUUUACAAGUGUCAAAAGAUAACUUAGAACAGGAAAAAAAAAAGGAAAAACAAUGCUAACUGACCUAAAAAACAAAAUCAUUCGGUGCGGAAGAACUCUCACCCUCAACCCAUAAAAGAUCAUAUCCUCCAAAAAGAAGUCCACCAAGAUGAUGAUAGCAUUCAUUCUAAGUUUUCUUUUUCUAGAAGGGAAAAAAAAGGAUGACUAGUGAAAAACUAGGGGGAAAAAAGAAAUUGAGAAAAUCCNNN